ACCAAACUAAACUAAACCAAAAUAAAAAUAAAAUCAAUCAAUUUGAAUCAAAUCAAAUCAAAAUAAAAAAGUUCAAUUCCAUUUAUUUUUUAUCAAUUCGAUUUCAUUUUUACAAUGUAUAAUUUAAUUUUUAUGAUUUGAUUGAUUCAAUUUAUUCAGAAUACUCACGCCAGUCAAGUGCGUAGAAAUAAUUACUGUGACAUAAAACCCUUUUUGAUCAUGACAGUCGCCCACUCCCUAUUUUGACCCAAUAAUAAUAAUAA
rnacentral:misc_RNA from 1 species